UACGUAGGGUGCAAGCGUUGUCCGGAAUCAUUGGGCGUAAAGAGCGUGUAGGCGGCCCGGUAAGUCCGCUGUGAAAGUCGGGGGCUCAACCCUCGAAUGCCGGUGGAUACUGUCGGGCUAGAGUGCGGAAGAGGCGAGUGGAAUUCCUGGUGUAGCGGUGAAAUGCGCAGAUAUCAGGAGGAACACCAGUUGGCGAAGGCAGGCUCGCUGGG
rnacentral:rRNA from 1 species